GACGAACGCUGGCGGCGUGCUUAACACAUGCAAGUCGAACGGCGAGGCCCUGCUUGCAGGGUCCUCGAGUGGCGAACGGGUGAGUAACACGUGGGUGAUCUGCCCUUCACUUCGGGAUAAGCCUGGGAAACUGGGUCUAAUACCGGAUAGGAGCCAUUUUUAGUGUGAUGGUUGGAAAGUUUUUUCGGUGUAGGAUGAGCUCGCGGCCUAUCAGCUUGUUGGGGGGGUAAUGGCCUACCAAGGCGGCGACGGGUAGCCGGCCUGCGAGGGUGGACGGCCACAUUGGGACUGAGAGACGGCCCAGACUCCUACGGGAGGCAGCAGUGGGGAAUAUUGCACAAUGGGCGCAAGCCGGAUGCAGCGACGCCGCGGGGGGGAUGACGGCCUUCGGGUUGUAAACUCCUUUCGCUAGGGACGAAGCUUUUUGUGACGGUACCUAGAUAAGAAGCACCGGCUAACUACGUG
rnacentral:rRNA from 1 species